rnacentral:rRNA from 1 species
AGAGUUUGAUCAUGGCUCAGGAUGAACGCUAGCGACAGGCCUAACACAUGCAAGUCGAGGGGCAACAUGGUAUCAGCUUGCUGAUACUGAUGGCGACCGGCGCACGGGUGAGUAGCGCGUAUGUAAUCUACCUGUAACAGAGGGAUAACCCGGAGAAAUCCGGACUAAUACCUCAUAGCACAUAUUAUUCGCAUGAAUUUUAUGUUAAAGAGACUCGGUUACAGAUGAAUA